rnacentral:rRNA from 1 species
AAUCAACGCUGGCGGCGUGCCUAACACAUGCAAGUCGAACGCGAAAGUCCCGCAAGGGAUGAGUAGAGUGGCAAACGGGUGAGUAACACGUGGGUGGCCUGCCUUCGAGCGGGGGAUAACGUCCCGAAAGGGACGCUAAUACCGCAUGACAUCCUGCCUUUGAAGAGGUGGAGAUCAAAGCUGGGGAUCGCAAGACCUAGCACUUGAAGAGGGGCCCGCGCCUGAUUAGCUAGUUGGUGGGGUAACGGCUCACCAAGGCGACGAUCAGUAUCCGGCCUGAGAGGGCGGACGGACACACUGGGACUGAGACACGGCCCAGACUCCUACGGGAGGCAGCAGUGGGGAAUUGUUCGCAAUGGGCGCAAGCCUGACGACGCAACGCCGCGUGGAGGACGAAGACC